rnacentral:rRNA from 1 species
GAUGAACGCUAGCUACAGGCUUAACACAUGCAAGUCGAGGGGCAACGAGAUCGUAAGCUUGUUUGUGAUGGGCCUCGAGGGGCGCACGGGAGAGACACGCGUAUCCCACGCUGCUCAACUCUUGGGCGAUCACUUUGCGAGAGUGAGACUUAUACCCAAGGAUAUCUAUAGAAGACAUCUGCAAGAGAUUAGAGAUUUAUCGGUGAUGGAUGGGGAUGCGUUUGAUUAGAUAGUAGGCGGGGUAACGGCCCACCUAGUCAACGAUCAAUAGGGGUUCUGAGAGGAAGGUCCCCCACAUUGGAACUGAGACACGGUCCAAACUCCUACGGGAGGCAGCAGUGAGGAAUAUUGGUCAAUGGGCGAGAGCCUGAACCAGCCAAGUAGCGUGCAGGAUGACGGCCCUAUGGGUUGUAAACUGCUUUUAUAAGGGAAUAAAGUGAGUCUCGUGAGACUUUUUGCAUGUACCUUAUGAAUAAGG